GUCGGUACAAUGAGGAGAAAAUUAUCAUGAGAUCGAAAGAUCUAUGAAAUUGUUAAAAAUAAUUUAGUCCUUUUCAUUCUGAGUGCCAC